GGCUAAGCCAAUCCCACAAAUCUGUUCUCAGUUCGGAUCGCAGUCUGCAACUCGACUGCGUGAAGCUGGAAUCGCUAGUAAUCGCGGAUCAGCAUGCCGCGGUGAAUACGUUCCCGGGCCUUGUACACACCGCCCGUCACACCACGAGAGUUUGUAACACCCGAAGUCGGUGAGGUAACCUUUUGGAGCCAGCCGCCGAAGGUGGGACAGAUGAUUGGGGUGAAGUCGUACGUAUCGGAAGGUGCGGUUGGAUCACCUCAAAAA
rnacentral:rRNA from 1 species